CAGCACCUCAAGUGGUCAGGAUGAUUAUUGGGCCUGAAGCAUCCGUAGCCGGCUCUGUAAGUUUUCGGUUAAAUCUGUACGCUCAACGUACAGGCUGCCGGGAAUACUGCAGCGCUAGGGAGUGGGAGAGGUAGACGGUACUCGGUAGGAAGGGGUAAAAUCCUUUGAUCUAUUGAUGACCACCUGUGGCGAAGGCGGUCUACCAGAACACGUCCGACGGUGAGGGAUGAAAGCUGGGGGAGCAAACCGGAUUAGAUACCCGAGUAGUCC
rnacentral:rRNA from 1 species